GUGGGUGCUGCCCCAGCCCACCAGAGCCUUCCCCUGCCUGGAUUCCUCCUUUCUGCUGGAAUUGCUGGCUCUGGGCUCUGUUCCUGCCGUGCCACAGCUGCUCCAGGCUGCAGCAGGGAGGUGCUGCCCCAGCCUUGGGGCUGUGGCUGAUUCCUGGAUUUAUCUGGCUGCUGGCACAGAGAGGGUGAACUUUGGGGAUUCUGCUGGGACUUGCUGGGCUCCGUGUUCCCACGGGGAACAGAGAAUUCCCAGCACAAAAAAGGGAAGGAGGAAGGAGAACAGCUCGUGCUGCCCCAGCACCUCUCCAGGUUCUGAGGGUGGUUUUCCUCCUUCCCAAGGCCCACACAGCAAUAAAUUGUCCUGCAGUAUCAGAGGAAUGGUUAACCUUGAUUUGAGCUCAUGCAACACCUCCUUCCCUGCAAGGUCGAAUUCCAAAUAAUCCUUUGGAGAGGAAUGAAAUAAAAGUCAGGGCUGCUCCCUGGGCCAAAAGA